rnacentral:tRNA from 1 species
GGGGUUGAGGCUCAGCGGUAGAGUGCUUGCCUAGCACAUGCAAGGCCCUGGGUUCAAUCCUCAGCACCACA